AAGCAAGAAAGGAUAUCUCGGUUUCUCUGAUGGCGAUAAAGAUUUGGUAUUAAUAGCUAGGGUUUGAUCGUUCUGUUUUCUGUAGCUUUUCAUGGAUUCUUCUUGGCCAGUGCUUGAUUUCUAGUGAGUGAUUGCGUGCAUCACUUUUGCUUGAGCAGUUUUUGAGGUUGAUUUUCAGCUGAAAUUAGGGUUUUGGAGAUGAAUCUGGAAAUGGGAAAAUGCUCCAUCACCAAUAUCUCCAACUCGUUUCCGGAAUGCGCCUAUUCUCCUUACCAUGCAAGAG
rnacentral:misc_RNA from 1 species